rfam:Allomyces macrogynus ATCC 38327 genomic scaffold supercont3.5, whole genome shotgun sequence.
GGCCUGUUGGCGUAAUGGUAGCGCGUCUGACUCCAGAUCAGAAGGCUGGGUGUUCGAGUCACUCACAGGUCA